rnacentral:rRNA from 1 species
GGGGGCCCGCACAAGCGGUGGAGCAUGUGGUUUAAUUCGAAGCAACGCGAAGAACCUUACCAGGUCUUGACAUCCUUUGACCACUCUAGAGAUAGAGCUUCCCCUUCGGGGGCAAAGUGACAGGUGGUGCAUGGUUGUCGUCAGCUCGUGUCGUGAGAUGUUGGGUUAAGUCCCGCAACGAGCGCAACCCUUAUUGUUAGUUGCCAUCAUUCAGUUGGGCACUCUAGCAAGACUGCCGGUGACAAACCGGAGGAAGGUGGGGAUGACGUCAAAUCAUCAUGCCCCUUAUGACCUGGGCUACACACGUGCUACAAUGGGAAGUACAACGAGUUGCGAAGUCGCGAGGCUAAGCUAAUCUCUUAAAGCUUCUCUCAGUUCGGAUUGCAGGCUGCAACUCGCCUGCAUGAAGCCGGAAUCGCUAGUAAUCGCGGAUCAGCACGCCGCGGUGAAUACGUUCCCGGGCCUUGUACACACCGCCCGUCACACCACGAGAGUUUGUAACACCCGAAGUCGGUGAGGUAACCUUUUGGAGCCAGCCGCCUAAGGUGGGAUAGAUGAUUGGGGUGAAGUCGUAACAAGGUAGCCGUAUCGGAAGGUGCGGCUG